CUCCGACAUAGGGAGAGACAUGUCCAGUGACCGGCGGGGCGAGCGGGCUGCGGGCGGGGUGGCAAGGAUGGGUGGAGGGAGCGGGCUGCAGGUCAGCCGAAGGGGUCUAGUGCCGGCGUCAUCCUGGGAGAUUUUCCUCCGGCGCUGAUUUCCUAUUUUCAGCUGAUGUUGUGUCGAGUGUAUCUCGUGCUCCUGUUUAUUGUGCUUCCUGAUUAUGCGGUGGUGGGGAGAUUUUGGACUUGCUCUAUGUUAUGCAUGGUGUGUUCGGGUUGGGGAGUUUUGAUCCGUGAUUUUCAUUGAGAGAGACGAACAAGGGUAGGUGUGCUGCGUGUGAGGAGCGCAGAGCGGGGGAUUGAGGAAACCGGGGAGUUUGGAUCCUUAACUUCAGUCACCCAUUCUUCCUCAGCCUGUAAUUAGUUUUCGUGGUUCGUUAGCUUUUUAGUUACAUUAUCUCUUUCUCAGUUUCCAUCUGAGUCUUUCUUUCUUCAGAUUCUUAGGUUGUUUAGUUCAGUGAUCCAUUAUCUUCAGUUUUUCAUAUCUUGAUCCAUUCUCAAUCUUGUUCACUUUUCUUCAGAGUCAGUUGUUGAUUCCUGACAUUUUCCAGGUCAAAAAAAAUUCCUGACAUUUUCUUGGACUGGUCUUCCGCGUGGUUUCUUUAGUCUGUGCUUUUAGUGGGAGAGAGAAGUUGGAGAAGAAAGAGGAACAAAGCGUUGGAGCAGCAGAGCAGCAGUCGCCUGCAGCCAGGUGGGAGAAGAAAGGGAAACCAAGCAAAAGAGUAGCAGACCGGAAAUUUGCCUUCAUCGACAAGUACUAUUCAGUGGUUAGUCAUGUUUCUGUUGAAAUGCAAUAACAUAUGCUGAUUGGUUCUUGGAGAAGGAAGUGUUGCAGCUGUUGUCAAGGUACUAUUUAGUGGUUAGUGAUGCUCAAGUGGUUGAUGCACCAAACUAAGUUUGGUUGAAAGUGGGGCAACCUAUCACUCGCUGCUUUUAUGUAGCAUACAUCUACUGGGAAACCCAAAAUGUAUUUAUCUUAAUGUGUUUAUCUGAACCAGAUUGUAUCUGACUUGUUUCACAUGAAUCUGGGUCUCUA